rnacentral:rRNA from 1 species
AACGAACGCUGGCGGCAGGCUUAACACAUGCAAGUCGAACGCAUCGCAAGAUGAGUGGCAGACGGGUGAGUAACGCGUGGGAACAUACACUUUUCUACGGAAUAGCUCUGGGAAACUGGAAUUAAUACCGUAUAAGCCCUACGGGGGAGAGAUUUAUCGGGGAAGGAUUGGCCCGCGUUGGAUUAGCUAGUUGGUGGGGUAAAGGCCUACCAAGGCUACGAUCCUUAGCUGGUCUGAGAGUAUGAGCAGCCACAUUGGGACUGAGACACGGCCCAAACUCCUACGGGAGGCAGCAGGGGGGAAUAUUGGACAAUGGGCGCGAGCCUGAUCCAGCCAUGCCGCGUGAGUGGUGAAGGCCUUAGGGUUGUAAAGCUCUUUCACCGAUGAAGAUAAUGACGGUAGUCGGAGAAGAAGCCCCGGCUAACUUCGUGCCAGCAGCCGCCGUAACAC